CCGUGAAGUACUGCGGAGGACAUUAUCGAGUUUUUGACGGGUUGUAGCUGACCUCUCAAACGGGAGGUACGUGCACGCCUGGCUCAUUCCACUCUCAACCCCUGUGCACUUCUCGUAGGAAGGACUAAAAUUGUAUUGGGCGGAGAGCUGACUGAAAAGUCAGUUUGCAAGUCUUUUAUAAUCCUUCCUAUGUUUUUACUACAAACGCUUCAGUUAAAGAAUGUCUUACUUUGCGUACACCGCAUUUUAAAAUAUAUACAACUUUCAACAACGGAUCUCUUGGCUCUCGCAUCGAUGAAGAACGCAGCGAAAUGCGAUAAGUAAUGUGAAUUGCAGAAUUCAGUGAAUCAUCGAAUCUUUGAACGCACCUUGCGCUCCUUGGUAUUCCUUGGAGCAUGCCUGUUUGAGUAUCAUGAAAUUCUCAACUCCCAAGUUUUCUUUAACAAGGAGAACCUGGUGAGCUUGGACUUGGAGGCUUGUGCUGGUUCUGUUAACUCGGAAUCAGCUCCUCUGAAAUGUAUUAGCGUGAAUCUUACGGAUCGCCUUCAGCGUGAUAAUUGUCUACGUUGUGGCUGUGAAGUAUUUGUGUGUUCACGCUUACAGUCAUCUCGCAAGAGAUAACACUUUUCAACUUCUGAUCUCAAAUCAGGUAGGACUACCCGCUGAACUUAAGCAUAUCAAUAAGCGGAGGAAA
rnacentral:rRNA from 1 species